rnacentral:ncRNA from 1 species
CCAAUAUCGUGUUGCUUCGGUUCUUUCGAUUCCUGUUGAAAGCUAAGAGGGAAACCAGUGAAAAUCUGGCACUGCCCCCGCAACUGUAAGCGGUUUGUGCGGCUGAAUUCGCCACUGAAAGCGUGCUUUCGGGAAGGUCAGCCAAACAUAUAACCGCAAGUCAGGAGACCUGCCGCAAGCAUGUGAAUAACC